AUGAUGUCGUUCGCCAGCGCCACCUCGUCGGAGCCACCGGCCCCUUCCUUGAGGGUAACGAAGGCACAGGGCGACUCCCCCCAGCGCUCGUCGGCCCUGGCGACCACCGAGGCCUCCAGGACCGCCGGGUGCAUGUACACCACCUUCUCCACCUCCAGGGUGCUGAUGUUCUCCCCGCCGGAGAUGAUGAUGUCCUUCAUCCGGUCCUUGACUUCGAUGUACCCGUCGGGGUGCUUCACGCCGAGGUCGCCGGAGUGGUACCAGCCGUGCGCGAACGCCUCCGCGUUGGCCUUGGGGUUCUUCAGGUACCCCUUCAUCACGGCGUUGCCCCUCAUCACGAUCUCCCCGUAG
rnacentral:rRNA from 1 species